rnacentral:rRNA from 1 species
UACAUGUGGGGCAAGCGUUGUUCGGAAUUACUGGGCAUAAAGGGUGCGUAGGUGGCUUGUUAAGUCAGGGGUGAAAGUUUUCGGCCCAACCGGAAAAUGGCCUUUGAUACUGGCGAGCUCGAGUGCGUGAGGGGUAACCGGAACGAGCAGUGUAGCGGUGAAAUGCGUAGAUAUCUGGAGGAACACCCGUGGCGAAGGCGGCUCUCUGGAACGCAACUGACGCUGAGACGCGAAAGCGUGGGGAGCAAACAGG